UACAGAGGUCUCGAGCGUUAGGCGGAAUCACUGGGCUUAAAGCGCGUGUAGGCGGCCCUGCAAGUCGGAUGUGAAAUCCCACGGCUCAACCGUGGAAGUGCAUUCGAAACUGCAGGGCUAGAGUCCUGGAGAGGAAGGUGGAAUGCUUGGUGUAGAGGUGAAAUUCGUAGAUAUCAAGCGGAACACCGGUGGCGAAGGCGGCCUUCUGGACAGUGACUGACGCUGAGACGCGAAAGCGUGGGGAGCAAACAGG
rnacentral:rRNA from 1 species